GGAUGUGAGGGCGAUCUGGCUGCGACAUCUGUCACCCCAUUGAUCGCCAGGGUUGAUUCGGCUGAUCUGGCUGGCUAGGCGGGUGUCCCCUUCUUCCCUCACUGCUCCAUGUGCGUCCCUCCCGAAGCUGUGCGCUUGGUCGAAGAGGACGACCUUCCCUGCUAGAGGAGGACUGUUCUUCGGUCAAGGGUAUACGAGUAGCUGCGCUCCCCUGCUAGAACCUCCAAACAAACUCUCAAAGGGAACUAGAGUAAACUUUACAAUGGAAAAACCUGACAGAACACCAUCUUAAUCAAGUGAUCAAGUGCCAUCAGUA
rnacentral:snRNA from 1 species